rnacentral:lncRNA from 1 species
AUUCUCUUACCGAGCUUAAUUUUGUGAAUUUUAUUCUGCUUUCUGGUGUACAAGUGGUAGGUCUAGCUAGUUUAUGGGCAGUUUUUGUUGAAUUCAACUUUGUCAUGGGCUUGUGCUUGCUUGAACCUGUGAUUGUUUUGCUGUGAGGUGUAUUUUCUCAGGAAUGUAUUUAUUGACUGGUCUGUGGGUUGUGGUGAUGAAAUUCAUACAAUCUGAAUUACAA